GUGAGCCAUCACCAAAAUCCAAAUUUCAGAAGAAAAAAAAGCUCUCUGUCUCUGCAUGCGCGCCAAUCCACCGUGCCCAUCAAUGGUUUCGAGGUUCGGCGACGCCGCGAGGGAUGUGUCCGAACCGGGCAGCAGCAGCAUCUCCGUAUCUGGAAUCCCAUCUCUUCCUAGCUAAAACGUGGGAAAGAUAGUGCUAGAAAGUGACGGAAAAUGAGACGGCUGAUAUUCUUCCGAGGGAUUGUGUCCUGGGUCGACUUUCUCUUGUCAGCUUUUGAUGGCUUUCUGAUGUUUUCUCAGUAUUACUGGCUGUAUUCGUAACUUUUUCUUGCCAUGGUUUCCCCUGCUUUUCAGAGGCUCCUAAUGGUUCACAGAAGCUCUUAUCACUGUUGGCCUUGAAAAGUGGCUAUUUUGUAUAUUUCUUAGAGUUUUUGCAGAUAUUAAGGUAGUGUUGUUGCUGAAGUAUCAUACUGUUUAUAGAAGCUCUCAAGAUCUUAUACUGUUUAUAGAAGCUCUCAAGAUCUUUCUCGGUGAAGGUUGUUCUACCUGUCUGAGAGAUGAUGCAGUCUUUGGCUGAACUGCAGUAAACCAAGCGUAAAGACAUACUUCUGUUAGGUGGAUUGAACUUUGUUGGUCUCAUUUCUGCAUUCUAUUGGUUAGUUCAGCUCGGCUAACCUCCUUUGGCAGUAGAUAAUUCCUGACAGAAACUUCGGCUUCCUUUUGGGGCACAUCUCCUGUGUGCAUGUCUCUAUAUAUAUUAUAUCAACUAGUUCAGCUCUCUUGAGCAGAUCUCCUUUGGCAAAAGUUACUGAAGUUCCCUUUCGUUGGCUGACUUCCUAUCGUAGUGGAUUAGAAGAGUGCUUCUUUUGUUGACUUGUCAUCAAUUUAUCUCAAACUCCAGUGUUUCUUUAGGGCCGAUCUCCUUUGGCAUUCUCCUCGCUAUUUCGGCAAGCUUCACCUCAACCUCUGAGAAAGAUCUCAUCUGCCAGUUGCAAUCCAUUGAUAAUUCUGCAGUUGGGAAAAUCUCCCUUUUGAAGUUCUUCUGGGUAAUUGGUUGUAGUCAAAAGUUCACCCCUCCGAUCGGGCAAAUCUUCUUUGGUACUCGGAGUCCUUUGUUGACUCAUGCUACCCUUGUAGGGCAAAUCUCCUUUGGCAUUUGGAGUCCUCGUAGCGUCCUGUUAUCCCUCCCUCUAUAGGGCAAAUCUCCUUUGGCAUUAGAUCUCCAGUUUUAGUGGUCAAAGUACCCUACUGGAGAUAUCCCUAUCAAAUAUCAACUGGAAAAGUGUACGGCAAAUCUGUUUAUCACAGAGGAUGUUGUGGCAAUAAUCAUCAUUUCAUCCUUUGGAGACUACACACAUCCCUGUCGGAGUUCAAGAUAAGCUCAGAUUGUCACGGUGUUAAGAUUCAUUCUGCCCCAGAAGUUCAGUGAAGAUUAACCAAGUUUCUCAGACGGCUUGUAAUUUAAUCUGUUCCCAUUUUGCAGUUGAGGCAUCUGAACGAUGAAUGCAAUCCUCAGUGACUCGGAUUGGGAGAGUUUUAGUGAGAGUGGUAGUAGUAUGGAUCAAUAUGAAAAUGAAUCUUUCUAUGGCGGGCAUGCGAGCAGCAUCUUGUCCAGCCUGGAGGCUUCCAUUGGGAAAAUUGAUGAUUUUCUCUCGUUUGAGAGGGGAUUCAUAUAUGGAGACAUGGUAUGCUCCGUAAGAGAUCCAUCUGGGCAGAUGGGCAGAGUAGUUGGGAUUAAUAUGUUCGUUGAUUUGGAGAGUGUUAAGGGACACAUAAUAAAAGAUGUCAACUCCAAUAACCUAUCAAAGAUCCGCUCCAUUUCGGUGGGGGAUUAUGUUGUUUGUGGUCCAUGGCUUGGAAGGGUGCAUAGAGUGGUUGACCAUGUUAUGGUUGUAUUUGAUGAUGGAACAGAGUAUGAGGUCACUGCUGUGGAUCAAGAGAAGCUCUUGCCCAUUUCUCCAAACCUACUUGAAGAUCCACAGUACCCAUAUUAUCCAGGACAGAAAGUGCAGGUCAGACUCUCAACCGCUUCCAAAUCAACUAGAUGGUUAUGCAGUAACUGGAGGGAAAAUCAAGUCGAGGGAACCGUUUGUUCUGUGGAAGGAGGUUUGGUGUAUGUUGAUUGGCUUGCCUCUGUUCUCAUGGGUUGUGAUUUGAAAUUGCCUGCUCCUCCACGUGUGCUGGAUCCGAAAAAGUUGAAUGUGUUGUCAUGUUUCUCUCAUGUAAACUGGCAGCUUGGUGACUGGUGUAUGCUUCAAGUUGCUGACGAUAAAGCUGUCAUGGAGCAGGAUUUUCAUAAUGCAUCUACUUGUGAGAUGAAUAACAAGCCCAAGAUAUCAGGAAGAGGAUUUAGGAGAAGAACCACAGAUUCAAAAUUCGAAGAAAUCUUUGUCAUCAUAAAGACAAGGACCAAGGUUGACGUGGCGUGGCAAGAUGGAAGCCACUCUUUGGGAUUAGAUUCACAGACACUAGUUCCAGUCAGCGUUGUAAAUGAUCAUGAAUUUUGGCCUGAACAGUUUGUCCUGGAAAAGGGCACUGGCGAUGAUCCACACAUGUCUAGCAGCCAAAAAUGGGGUGUCGUGAAGGGUGUGGAUGCAAACGAGCAUACAGUAAAGGUGCAAUGGAAAACUAUCCCUGCACCUAAAGAAAAUUACUCUGAGGGAAAACAGAUGGAGGAAAUUGUGAGCGCUUAUGAACUAGUUGAGCACCCAGAUUACUCCUACUCUUUUGGAGAUUAUGUGUUCAGGUUGGUCCAGAAUCAGUUUGAUGAACAAGCGAAUAAAAACUAUCUGCUCACAAAGAUUGACAUGAGCGAGGAAGCUGCUUCUGAAAAAAAGGACUGCGGUGGGGAUCAAGAGGAUUACACUGAUAAAUGUUACCUAUCUCACAUUGGAAAUGUUAUGGGCUUCAAGGAUGGAGCUGUGGAAGUGAGAUGGGCUACUGGUAUUACAGGCAAGGUGGCCCCUAAUGAAAUUUUCCGGUUUGACAAACAUGAAGGUUCAGCUGCAAUUCCUACAGAAGAUGACAUCGAAGACUUGUACCGAGAGAUGAUUCAAAAUGCAAAGCAACCUUCUAACCAGAAGGGAAAGGAUUCAUUGAAUUUGGAUGAUGGUGGCAAAGAUUACACAAGGGAGUCUAGUUCCUCUUUCCUUCCUCAAGCUGCCAUUGGAGUUUUCAAAAGCAUAGCUGCGAGUCUUUUUGGAUCCCAUGAGUCUGCACCACUUUCAGGUCCUUCGUCAUCAGCCUGUAUUUCUGAAAUUGGAAAUCAAUCUGAGAUUUCCCAUGAGAAAGGAAUAGCGGAAACUUGUGACCUCUUUGCUGAGCAACAGUCAACGACUGAGCUGGAGAGGUUUGAGGAGAAGAGCUUUCCACAUUCAAAAGCUAAUGAGAGUGCUGAUCAGUUUAGGCAGUUUGACAUAGUUGCUGAUUGCACCGACCACCAUUUUCAUGGUGCUAACAAGGAGUUGGCAUUAUCUCAGGUGAAAAGAGGCUGGAUGAAAAAGGUUCAACAAGAGUGGAGCAUCUUCGAGAAAGAUCUGCCUGAACAAAUCUAUGUCCGCGCCUUCGAGGAAAGGAUGGAUCUACUGCGAUCAGCCAUUGUUGGUGCACCUGGAACUCCAUAUCAUGAUGGGCUUUUCUUCUUUGAUAUUUAUCUUCCACCCGAGUAUCCUCAUGAACCGCCUAUGGUACACUAUAGUUCUGGUGGGCUACGUGUCAACCCUAACUUGUACGAGUCCGGAAAGGUCUGUCUCAGUCUCCUUAAUACAUGGAUGGGCACAGGCACUGAAGUUUGGAAUCCAGGGAGCUCCACCAUUCUUCAAGUUCUUCUCUCCCUUCAAGCCCUCGUGCUUAACGACAAGCCAUAUUUCAAUGAAGCUGGGUAUGAUCAACAGAUGGGAAGAACCCAAGGAGAGAAAAACUCCGUAAGCUACAACGAAAAUGCAUUCCUGAUGACAUGCAAGUCCAUGCUGUAUACACUCCAAAAGCCACCUAAGCAUUUUGAGGAGCUUGUUAUCGAACACUUCACUCGGCGCUCCCAAAAUAUUCUAACGGCGUGUAAGGAGUAUAUGGACGGGGCUCCAGUAGGGUGUGCUAUUGAUUUCCAGAAAACUGAAGAUAAACACAGUAAGGGAAGCUCUACCGGGUUCAAAAUCAUGCUCUCUAAGCUAUUUCCAAAAUUGGUUGAGGCACUUUCCAGCAAGGGAAUUGACUGCAACCGGUUCAUGGGGCCGGAGAAAUGCACAUGGUGCAAAAUUGUAAUUUAAAGGUACCCAGCGAAGGUAUUCCUGUCAUGUGUGUAAAUAAGUCCAUAUGCUUUCAAUGUGUGCUUGCUGUAAGAUUGCUCAUGUAAAUUAGUCUGGUUGUUUACCCAAAAAGAAAAUUGGGGUGGGGAGAGAGAGAGAGAGAGAGAGAGAGAGAGAGAGAGAGAGAGAGAAUCCAUGGUGGUUUGCAUGUGUAUAAAAAAUGGGUUUCUGAUGAAUCAGUAAUAUAGUAUGCCGUGCUUACAGAAUUUGUGAAAUAAAAAGCAGUUGCCAAGAAAAAGAAG